UACGAAGGAUGCAAGCGUUAUCCGGAUUUAUUGGGUUUAAAGGGUGCGUAGGCGGACUUAUAAGUCAGUGGUGAAAUCUCGAUGCUUAACAUCGAACGUGCCAUUGAUACUGUAGGUCUUGAGUACAGAUGCCGUUGGCGGAAUGUGUCAUGUAGCGGUGAAAUGCAUAGAUAUGACACAGAACACCGAUUGCGAAGGCAGCUGACGAAGCUGUAACUGACGCUGAGGCACGAAAGCGUGGGGAUCAAACAGG
rnacentral:rRNA from 1 species